UACGUAGGGUGCGAGCGUUAAUCGGAAUUACUGGGCGUAAAGCGUGCGCAGGCGGUUUUGUAAGACAGAUGUGAAAUCCCCGGGCUUAACCUGGGAAUGGCGUUUGUGACUGCAAGACUUGAGUGCGGCAGAGGGGGGUGGAAUUCCACGUGUAGCAGUGAAAUGCGUAGAUAUGUGGAGGAACACCGAUGGCGAAGGCAGCCCCUGGGUCGACACUGACGCUCAGGCACGAAAGCGUGGGGAGCAAACAGGAUUAGAAACCCUUGUAGU
rnacentral:rRNA from 1 species